rnacentral:rRNA from 1 species
CCUACGGGUGGCAGCAGUAGGGAAUAUUGCUCAAUGGGGGAAACCCUGAAGCAGCAACGCCGCGUGAAUGAUGAAGGUUUUCGGUUUGUAAACUCCUUUUGUUAGAGAAGAUAAUGACGGUAUCUAACGAAUAAGCACCGGCUAACUACGUGCCAGCAGCCGCGGUAAUACGGAGGGUGCAAGCGUUACUCGGAAUCACUGGGCGUAAAGAGCGCGUAGGCGGGAUAGCAAGUCAGAUGUGAAAGCCUAGGGCUUAACCACAGAACUGCUUUUGAAACUGUGAUUCUAGAGUAUGGGAGAGGUAGGUGGAAUUCUUGGUGUAGGGGUGAAAUGCGUAGAGAUCAGGAGGAAUACUCAUUGCGAAGGCGGCCUGCUGGACCAUAACUGACGCUGAUGCGCGAAAGCGUGGGGAGCAAACAGGAUUAGAUACCCGUGUAGUC